GAUGAACGCUGGCGGCGUGCCUAAUACAUGCAAGUCGAGCGAACAGACGAGGAGCUUGCUCCUCUGACGUUAGCGGCGGACGGGUGAGUAACACGUGGAUAACCUACCUAUAAGACUGGGAUAACUUCGGGAAACCGGAGCUAAUACCGGAUAAUAUAUUGACCCGCAUUGUGCAAUAGUUAAAGACGGUUUUUCUUUCACUUAUAGAUGGAUCCGCGCUGCAUUAGCUAGUUGGUAAGGUAACUGCUUACCAAGGCAGGGAUGGGUAACCGCCCCGAGCGGGUGAUCGGACACACGGGAAGUGAGAAAGGGCCCAGACUCCUACGGGAGGCAGCAGUAGGGAAUCUUACGCGAUGGGCGAAAGCCUAACGGAGCAAAGCCGGCGGAAUGAUGAAGGAGUUCGGAUCGGAAAGCGCUGUAAUUAGGAAAGAACAAAUGUGUAAGUAACUAUGCACGUCUUGACGGUACCUAAUCAGAAAGCCACGGCUAACUCCGUG
rnacentral:rRNA from 1 species